AUUAGGUUUAUUUCGCAAAUAUUUGGAGAAUUGUUUCGUCCUACGCAUUAUGUACAUACUUGUCGGUGACAUUCACAGAGCCGUCUUUUGCGCAUUGAGAUUCCUAUCGGUAACAUAAGAUCAUGGAUUUGCCGAUUCCAAAAUGAAUAAUAUCUUGGAUAAUGUGUCCAACAAAGCACAUCAUCUUUGGAAAACGGCCAAAUAUGACAGUUGAAGAAAGGUUGUCCUCUUUGUGCUGAGCGUCUUCUUUCCAAAAUCCCAGCCCUGAAGGAAGCUUGGCUGUUGAGCAAACGAGACAUUAACAGGGAAAAAGGAUCAGAAAAGGACUUAGAAAUGACAAAUUGUCAUCCGAGAUUGAUAUGAACUUCGGCUGAGGUCCGGUAGGAGGUACCGUCUCACGAGUCAAGGUGAUGGAUACAGCAUGAGACAUCGAGUUAAGAGUUAAAAUGUUAAGAGUUAAAGUUAUGUUAUCGAUCGAUAGAUACCCUCUUGUUAUGGAUAUUCGUUUGCCCCGUUCAUUUCUUUCUCUUGGCUAAUAAACGUUCCUUGUGAGUACCCGCUCUGAUUCUGAGGAGAUGAAUUCUGUAGAUCAGAAGUUUUCAUAACUGAACGAAACACUGUUUA